rnacentral:sRNA from 1 species
CUUUGACUCACUGGUUGUUUAGGAGUGUGUCAUUUCCACAUAUUUUUGACUUUCCCAAAUUUCCUUCACUGUUGAUGUCCAGUUUCACGCCAGUACAGCUGAAGAACACUCCUGCUUUGGUCUCAGUCCUUUUCCAUUCACUGAGGCUCAUUGUGUGGCCUGGCACGUGGCCUGUCUUGGGGAGUGUCCCGUGGGCGCUUGAGAGGACUGUGUAUUCUGCCGUUGUUGGGUGGCGUGUGUGAUAGAUGUCUACUCGGCGUACCUGGUUUCUGGUGUUCAUCUCCGGAAUGUUGCUGACACUAGAAAAUCAGCAGCUUUCCACCGUUCCCAGCGCCUUGGCUUUGGGAGAGGCCCGUGAGCCUGUGGGUUUGGAGCCUGGCUGCACGGGAGGAGCAUGUGUGGGAACGCCAGGGGCCGGCUUUGAACCCCAUUCCCCCAACAUGAUGCCGUGUGUGGCAGACGUGACAUUUGGCUUUGCACCCCCAGGGUUUCAUCUGCGACAGGGGCUACUUGUGUCCCUGGCCUCGUCAGCUCGGGCUGAAGGCGGCCCUGGUCCUGGCCAGAGGGGCUUUGUGAAGCAGAAAUAGAUGGCCUGGUGCAGGGGCCGAGCUUGGCUAGGGCCUCAGCCCUGGGGGUUGUAAAGAAGGCCGGCCUCUACCAUGGGCAUCUGCACCAAGCUGUGCCCAUGUCACGGUGUGCUCAGCGGUUCCCCGCCUGUGGGGCCCAGGCUCACAGAGGUGUGAAAGAGGCAAGCACACCGCAGGGGCCUCUGAGCCCAGCCAGCCUCGCUUCGAUGCUGGGAGGCUGACCUCUUUUGUCUUCUGCCCAGGCCAGCUGCGGGCCGUCCAGCGGCUGUGCCACUUCUACAGCGCCGUCAUGCCCAGCGAGGCCCAGUGUGUCAUCUACCAUGAGCUCCAGCUCUCCCUGGCCUGCAAGGUGGCCGACAAGGUGCUGGAGGGGCAGCUCCUGGAGACCAUCAGUCAGCUCUACCUGUCCCUGGGCACCGAGCGGGCCUACAAAUCCGCACUGGACUACACCAAACGAAGUCUGGGGAUUUUCAUUGACCUCCAGAAGAAAGAGAAGGAGGCGCAUGCCUGGCUGCAAGCAGGGAAGAUCUAUUACAUCUUGCGGCAGAGCGAGCUGGUGGACCUCUACAUCCAGGUGGCACAGAAUGUGGCCCUGUACACAGGCGACCCCAACCUGGGGCUGGAACUGUUUGAGGCAGCUGGAGACAUCUUCUUCGACGGGGCCUGGGAGCGGGAGAAAGCUGUGUCCUUCUACCGGGUGAGCUGGCCUGUGGGCUGAUGUGGGUGGGCCCCAGGGGGGCACCUUGAGGGCUGAGGCACAGGUGUGGCAGGGCCGCCCAUGCACAUGCUUAGUUUCCUAGUGGUUUCACCGGGAAUGAUAUUGACUGUGCCCCCCGCCCGGGACAAACACUUGGGGCCUGGACACAGCAAUGGCCUUACCCUUGCACCCGAUGAUCUCAAGAAACCUUGAGUGGGAAGUCCUGUCCCCAUCUUACAGAUGAGGAAACUGAGGAUCAGAGAGGCACAGGGACAUGUCAAAGGACACAAAGCAUGCCAGUGGGAGGGCCAGGGCCCAGGUCUGCAUGCACCCUGAAGCAGGGACAGCUUCUCCCUUCCUCUGAGCUCACAGUGUGGCUCAGCCCUGGGCACAGAUAAAUGUGGUGUUUUUAGAGCAGAGAGGAGUGCUGGCUCCCCCCAGUCAGACCCCUGGUGCCCAGGCGGGAGGGGCUGGUCUGAGGCUGCCGGGUGUAGCUGGAUGGGCCUCAGGUGACUCUUCAGCCCCUAGCUUGGGUGUCUGAACCGCCCUUUAACUCAGAGCACAGAGCUAUGUGGAGGCCCAGGGGUAGCUGGGGCGUGGGAAGCUCCGAGCAUAUGUUUGAGCUCUGAGGAGGGCACUGGGCAAGGUGGGUGCUGUGGGAAGCCUGACCCCACCUGCCUGUGUGGCAGGACCGGGCCCUGCCCCUGGCAGUGACUACAGGCAACCGCAAGGCGGAGCUGCGGCUGUGCAACAAGCUGGUGGCACUGCUGGCCACGCUGGAGGAGCCCCAGGAGGGCUUGGAGUUUGCCCACAUGGCCCUAGCACUCAGCAUCACCCUGGGUAAGCCCCCUGAGCCCCUGCCUGGCCAGGACCCACACUUUGCCAGAGCUCAGCCUCCAGGUCUGCAGGGCAGGAGCCGAAACAGCUGCCGGAUUUUCCUGGUUUCCUGUCCAGGCAGGCACAUCUGCCCAGCUGGCUCCCCCGUCCGGCUGUGGGGCACAGCCCGAGGUUCCUCACGCAGUGCAGAGCUCCCUGCCUGGCUGAGCUCUGCUUCCUGUGCCUCUUCCCCCUGCUGACCACGAGGGCUGCCCAGUGUGCCUUCUGCCUUCCAGACAUGCCAGACAUCUCGUUGGUCCCUGCAUGUGCCAGGCUGAGUGGCACAUUCCCUUUCUCUUGUGCCCUUCCCACCCUCAUCAACCACACGGCUCUCUGGCUGAUGAAAUCCCAGUUCCCCUUCCAGCAGCCUGCCCCUUAAUGCCAGGCAUCCCCCGGUGCUGUGCCAGGGUCGUCUGUCCUCUAGAGAGAGGGAGCCCCAGACAGGCCACAUGCCCCAGCGCCUUGUGCCCCAGGGCCUGGUACACAGGUGUGCAGCCGCGUGGGAAUGCAUUGAAUGCAGGCUCCACAGCACUUACCCUGAAAAGGGGAGGACACUGGAGACAGCCUGGGUGGGCUCGCGCAUCUGUGGGGGGACCUGGAGCUCAGGCACACAGUGACUCCCCAAGGUAGGGGACUCUGAUGAUGACACACCCAGGAAGAGUUGGAUGUCACGUCUGUGGGUUGCCUGGAGCCCUGGUGCCCAGGAGCGCGUGGGCUGCAUGCCUUUUGGGCUCUUCUGGUUAAAAACAGUGAGCAAAGGCAGGUGGCUAUAUGUAGGCACACAGCUGGGCCAUCCAAGUCCGACUUUGCCAAAGCCUCACGGUAGAUGGGGGCAGGCCUUAUUAGUUCUGCUUUGUAGAUGGGAAAGUGAGUCUGGGAGCUGGGAAGGGACUGGCCAGAACUGCCCAGGUGACCGCAGUGCCUGGAGGCGAGCAAGGUGCUGCCGGGGUCUGCAUGCCUGCUCCUGAGGGGCCUGUGCCCUGCCUGCCCCAGGGAGCCACGUUCUCACACCUGCCCCCUUGGCCUGCACCCCAGGGGACCGGCUGAACGAGCGCGUGGCCUACCACCGGCUGGCCGCCCUGCAACACCGACUGGGCCAUGGCGAGCUGGCAGAGCACUUCUACCUCAAGGCCCUGUCGCUCUGCAACUCGCCGCUGGAGUUUGAUGAGGAGACCCUCUACUACGUGAAGGUGUACCUGGUGCUCGGUGACAUCAUCUUCUAUGACCUGAAGGACCCGUUUGAUGCAGCCGGGUACUACCAGCUGGCGCUGGCGGCCGCCGUGGACCUGGGCAACAAGAAGGCACAGCUGAAGAUCUACACGCGGCUGGCCACCAUCUACCACAACUUCCUCCUGGACCGUGAGAAGUCGCUCUUCUUCUACCAGAAGGCCAGGACCUUCGCCACAGAGCUCAACGUCCGCAGGGUCAACCUGCCUCCUCUGCCACUCUGCGGGUGGGCCCCCUGGUUGGCCCCCAGCCACCCUCGCUGAGGACAGCGUCCAAGGGAGUGGGUUUUGUGCAAGGGGUGGGGGUCUCCUGCCUCUCCUGGUGUCGCCGGUGGCUCAUUUUCUGGCAAAUGGAGGCACGAACGCAGGGGCCAAAUAGCAAUAAAUGGGUUUUGUUUUUUU